UUUAAUAAUAAAUUUUUUUAAUAAGUAUAAAAUAUUUAAAAAAAUGAUAUGAAAAUGGAUAGUUAUCAAGUACACUAUUUCAACAAAGAUACAUGAAUCUAACAAAGAUAGGCAAAAAACCUUUUUAAUUUAAUAUUAUUUUUGAAUGGAAGUGUAGAAAAGUAAUUAUCCUAAAAGAAGGGCCAUAAAAUUGAUUAAAUAACUGAGAUAAUGCUUGGCAAUAUUGUUUAUCAUGUCAAGCAAGAGCAGAAUAGGAAAAGGUCAUCCCAUGGCACUCCAUGGUCAAGUAAAGAAAAGAAUUUAUCCAGGAAGGAGCAUCUCGAUAAGAGAAAGUAGGGGCAUUAUGGGAAAUUGACUCCAUCUAAUUAAUAAAAGUCCCAUCCCACCAUCUCCCCUUCAAGUGAGUACCCAAGCAGCAACCGCAACAUCACAGCACAGCAGCCAUUCAACCCCCUCCCUCCUUCUCUCUCUACCACCCAAGAGGGGAGAAGAAACCGAGAGGAGAAAAUUAAAAGAAUCUCCACCCUCCAAGAA
rnacentral:lncRNA from 1 species